AGUGAACGCUGGCGGUAGACCUAACACAUGCAAGUCGAACGGCAGCACAGUAAGAGCUUGCUCUUACGGGUGGCGAGUGGCGGACGGGUGAGGAAUACAUCGGAAUCUACUUUUUCGUGGGGGAUAACGUAGGGAAACUUACGCUAAUACCGCAUACGACCUACGGGUGAAAGCAGGGGAUCUUCGGACCUUGCGCGAUUGAAUGAGCCGAUGUCGGAUUAGCUAGUUGGCGGGGUAAAGGCCCACCAAGGCGACGAUCCGUAGCUGGUCUGAGAGGAUGAUCGGCCACACUGGAACUUAGACACGGUCCAUGCUCCUACGGGAGGCAGCAGUGGGGAAUAUUGGACAAUGGGCGCAAGCCUGAUCCAGCCAUACUGCGUGGGUGAAGAAGGCCUUCGGGUUGUAGAGCCCUUUUGUUGGGAAAGAAAAGCAGCAGGUUAAUACCCCGCUGUUCUGACGGUACCCAAAGAAUAGGCACCGGCUAACUUCGUG
rnacentral:rRNA from 1 species